rnacentral:rRNA from 1 species
GAUGAACGCUGGCGGCAUGCCUAACACAUGCAAGUCGGACGGGAAACCCGGGAAACUGUGUUUCUAGUGGCGGCCGGGUGCGUAACGCUUAAGAACCUGCCCCUUGCAGGUGGACCACAGCUGACAACGGCUGCUCAUACCCCGUACCCUGUGGUGCAAAAGGCGGCAUCCUCCAGAGGUGGGGCUCGCGUCUGAUUACCUAGUUGGUGAGGCAAUAGCUUACCAAGGCGAUGAUUAGUAGCUGGUCCUAGUGGAUGAUCGGCCAGACUGGGACGGAGAGACGGAGCAGAGACCUACGGGAGGCAGCAGUGGGGAAGAUUGAGCAAUGGGCGAAAGGCGGAGGGAGCAAUGCGGUGGGGAAGUAGAAGGACCAGGGGUGGAGAACUGCGUAUCCCGGAGAAGAAGCAAUGACGGUAUCUGAGGAAUAAGCAACGGCUAACUCUGUG